rnacentral:rRNA from 1 species
GCCUCUUGUCAAAUCACCCGCAAUGUGCUGGAUCUCGUCAGAUCUCGGUAGCCAAGCGGGGGUUGAUCCAGGAUAGUGCUUGGAUAGGCGGCCACCACACAUACCAAGUUGUCACAGGCA